rnacentral:ncRNA from 2 species
GACUUAUCAAGAGUGGUGGAGGGAACUGACCCUUAGAAGCCCAGCAACCGGUUUGUUAGCCAAACAAACAAAGGUGCUACUUUCAGCAAAAUGUUCAAACAUUUUGACAGAUAAGUG